GCGCCUGACGGCGAUUUGGCGAGCCGCUCUGCGGCCGUGGCGUUCCUAAACUCUAAAUCCGGGUUCGAUUCCCGUCAGGCGCG
rnacentral:tRNA from 1 species